rnacentral:rRNA from 1 species
UACGUAGGGUGCAAGCGUUGUCCGGAAUUAUUGGGCGUAAAGAGCUCGUAGGCGGCUUGUCGCGUCGGCUGUGAAAACCUGGGGCUCAACCCCGGGCCUGCAGCCGAUACGGGCAGCUAGAAUUCGGUAGGGGAGACUGGAAUUCCUGGUGUAGCGGUGAAAUGCGCAGAUAUCAGGAGGAACACCGGUGGCGAAGGCGGGUCUCUGGGCCGAAAUUGACGCUGAGGAGCGAAAGCGUGGGGAG